AAUUUUAUUUGUACCUUUUUAACUUUAAAAUAUGUCAAAGUAGUCCUUCAAGUUUUCAAAAUAUUUCAAUAUGGUAUUAUCGUUCACUUAUCAAUUAAUGAUAUUAGUUUUUUAUUUUAACAGAUGAAAAUAUCUUUUGUUCAUAUUAGAUGGAUCACUAGAAAAGAAGAGAAGGAGAUGGAGAGAGUUGUUGUGGAAAGAGAGGGUGAGAUUGUGGAGGUC
rnacentral:lncRNA from 1 species